GGAAUUUUGGACAAUGGGGGCAACCCUGAUCCAGCAAUGCCGCGUGAGUGAAGAAGGCCUUCGGGUUGUAAAGCUCUUUUGUCAGGGAAGAAACAGCAGCUCUAACACAGUCUGCGAAUGACGGUACCUGAAGAAUAAGCACCGGCUAACUACGUGCCAGCAGCCGCGGUAAUACGUAGGGUGCAAGCGUUAAUCGGAAUUACUGGGCGUAAAGCGUGCGCAGGCGGUUAUGUAAGACAGGCGUGAAAUCCCCGGGCUUAACCUGGGAAUUGCGCUUGUGACUGCAUAGCUAGAGUAUGUCAGAGGGGGGUAGAAUUCCACGUGUAGCAGUGAAAUGCGUAGAGAUGUGGAGGAAUACCAAUGGCGAAGGCAGCCCCCUGGGACAAUACUGACGCUCAUGCACGAAAGCGUGGGGAGCAAACAGGAUUAGAUACCCUGGUAGUCCACGCCCUAAACGAUGCUGACUAGUUGUUCGGGAAUUUAUUCCUGAGUAACGUAGCUAACGCGUGAAGUCAGCCGCCUGGGGAGUACGGUCGCAAGAUUAAAACUCAAAGGAAUUGACGG
rnacentral:rRNA from 1 species